rnacentral:rRNA from 1 species
GUGGCCACAGAGCGCCGAGAGCGGGGUGGGGUCGGUGGUUUGCUCCUUGGGAUCGGAGGAAAGAGGUAGGGGAGCUGGGGGUGCUCGGCGACGUGGGGAGGGAGAGGGAAGGCACGCACGCGAGCCGGUUCCUACGGCGGCAGCGGGAGCCGAGGAGGAGGUGGUUGAGCGGAAGGGUAGCGAGCGCGCGUACAACGGCGGCAGCCUCUUGUCCGGUCACGCCCAGCGAAGGAGGAAAAGGAGGGCGGCCUAGAUUCCGCGCGCCGGCACCUCCGCUCGGAGAGGCCACCGCCGCCGUUUCCCACUGGUGUACCUAGCCAGGGACGUCCUCUCUCUUCUACCUUCUCUCCCUCUCGUCCUUCCUCUCAUCCCUCCGGGUCACCGCCUGCCCUCUCCCAAUGGCUGGCCGCGGCCGCUCCAGUCCACGCUGGACCACCAACCACCGCCGAGCUAGGUGAGGACCUAGGAAGAAGAAGGUGAAGGGGUGACGGAUUGUGGCUCCUUCUCCCGACCGAUUCCUUCUCCCGCUCCUGCGCCCCUAACUUCUCCCACAAGGACGCAAGUAACGGACCGGUUCCUGCUCCUGCUGCUGCACCCCACCUCGUACAGUAGGGAGACCAAUAGUGGAAGGAAAGACGAUGACCCGACUCUACUCCCAAAAGAGGUGGUUAACACCACCGGACUCAGUCUCUAGCUGUCGGUCUACGAACACCGAUGGUGUGUUUUGCACGAGAGAACGACUGGAGCUCCAGGUCUACGUUACCUAACAGAGGUUCCACAAAGAGGCUGGUCGUUGUUGUUUUGAGGUGUGAAAGAGUUAACACAACACUAACCAAGUACAGGUGGUUCCGGCAACGCAACCAGCGCCAUGAGCCGAAGGAAACCCAAACGAACGACAGCUACUUCUUCUUUCCACACUUGGUACACUUUUACCUGUUUGGGUGUCAGGAUCUACCAUGGUUAGUCCAAUAACUACGGCGGCCUAUCGACAGCAACCGAUAUUACACUAAUCUAAACAACUAGAAGACAUGACGGAGAUAGUUUUAUAAACAUGUUUAGGUCUGAUGUUUUGCAGAAUAUAAAACUAUCUCACUCCUGAUGUCUACCACAACCACCAUUGGACCCCUUCUGAAUAGCUGCACCUAUGUCGGUGUAAGGAACUGGCUUUACUAGGUUUGAUACUAUCAUUGUUCUAUCAAACCACGAGAGUACCAAUAAAACAUCUCUAACAGGAAGACAAGUAAUAAACCGUUAGUAGAUGACGUCGAGUCGAUGACAGGUCGACGAAGGGAAUACCGUUCUGCUUUGACUUUACCCCUAGAGCCUGUUCACGUUCCUCCCUUCGACAGCAUUCUAUCUAUUAUUUGAACGGAGGCGAGACUGUUCUCGUACAAGCAAGUCUGGAAAAGAAUGAUUUUCGAUAAAUAGAUAUCGUUCAUAAAGGUAAUCUUGAUAGUUUAAGUUUGAGGAUCUACAGAUACAGUCGUACAUCUUGAAACAGGUCCGUUUCUAUAGGGGAGACUAGAAAAACACUUAGGAAGGUGUGAAGAAACAUUUCACAAUGACUAAAAUUAUUUUAGAGAGAUAAUUUUUCUGUUAUAUUAAGUUCGAUGAUCUCAUCGAACAAGUAAGUCUG